UACGUAGGGGGCAAGCGUUGUCCGGAUUUAUUGGGCGUAAAGAGCGUGUAGGCGGCCUGAAAGGUCAGCUGUGAAAACUCGAGGCUCAACCUCGAGACGUCGGUUGAAACCAUCUGGCUAGAGUCCGGAAGAGGAGAGUGGAAUUCCCGGUGUAGCGGUGAAAUGCGCAGAUAUCGGGAAGAACACCCGUGGCGAAGGCAGCUCUCUGGGACGGUACUGACGCUGAGACGCGAAAGCGUGGGGAGCGAACAGG
rnacentral:rRNA from 1 species